rnacentral:tRNA from 1 species
GGAGGGACUGUGGCUCAGUGGUAGGACAUCUGCUCAGCAUUCCAAAGGUCCUAGGUUCAACCCCCGGCAUCUCCA